UACGUAGGGAGCAAGCGUUGUCCGGAAUCAUUGGGCGUAAAGCGCGCGUAGGUGGCUUCGUAAGUCCGUUGUGAAAGUCAAAGGCUCAACCUUUGAAAGCCGAUGGAUACUGCGGAGCUAGAGUACGGAAGAGGCGAGUGGAAUUCCUGGUGUAGCGGUGAAAUGCGCAGAUAUCAGGAAGAACACCCGUGGCGAAGGCGGCUCUCUGGGACGGUACUGACGCUGAGACGCGAAAGCGUGGGGAGCGAACAGG
rnacentral:rRNA from 1 species